ACACUGGGCUGGAGGAGAGCAGGAAAGAACAGGCAGCUGCGUCAUUGAAACACCAUCACUCAGUUUUGCUACUACCCAGACGACAGCCAAAGUAUGUGCUGUAGAAGAUACCACAUCUGAUGUUUUCCUUUAUGUGACAAUAAAAGGUGAAAAGAUCUUGCUGUAUCUCAUUCUGUUCUUGAAAAGACAUGACAAAGCUCCAACACAGAUGACAGAGAAACUACCACAUCUAUUGUCAAAACAAUCCCAGGAUUGCCUUUCAAGGAAAAUCCAGCAGUUCACACAGACAGG